rnacentral:rRNA from 1 species
GAUGAACGCUGGCGGCGUGCCUAAUACAUGCAAGUCGAGCGAACAGACGAGGAGCUUGCUCCUCUGACGUUAGCGGCGGACGGGUGAGUAACACGUGGAUAACCUACCUAUAAGACUGGGAUAACUUCGGGAAACCGGAGCUAAUACCGGAUAAUAUAUUGAACCGCAUGGUUCAAUAGUGAAAGACGGGUUUGCUGUCACUUAUAGAUGGAUCCGCGCCGCAUUAGCUAGUUGGUAAGGUAACGGCUUACCAAGGCAACGAUGCGUAGCCGACCUGAGAGGGUGAUCGGCCACACUGGAACUGAGACACGGUCCAGACUCCGACGGGAGGCAGCCGUAUGGAAUCGUCCGCAAUGGGCGAAAGCCUGACGGAGCAACGCCGCGUGAGUGAUGACGGUCUUCGGAUCGUAAAACUCUGUUAUUAGGGAAGAACAAAUGUGUAAGUAACUAUGCACGUCUUGACGGUACCUAAUCAGAAAGCCACGGCUAACUACGUG